AACGAACGCUGGCGGCAUGCCUAACACAUGCAAGUCGAACGAAGGCUUCGGCCUUAGUGGCGCACGGGUGCGUAACGCGUGGGAAUCUGCCCUUAGGUUCGGAAUAACAGUUAGAAAUGACUGCUAAUACCGGAUGAUGACGUAAGUCCAAAGAUUUAUCGCCUGAGGAUGAGCCCGCGUAGGAUUAGCUAGUUGGUGUGGUAAAGGCGCACCAAGGCGACGAUCCUUAGCUGGUCUGAGAGGAUGAUCAGCCACACUGGGACUGAGACACGGCCCAGACUCCUACGGUAGGCAGCAGUGGGGAAUAUUGGACAAUGGGCGCAAGCCUGAUCCAGCAAUGCCGCGUGAGUGAUGAAGGCCUUAGGGUUGUAAAGCUCUUUUACCCGUGAUGAUAAUGACAGUAGCGGGAGAAUAAGCCCCGGCUAACUCCGU
rnacentral:rRNA from 1 species